rnacentral:rRNA from 1 species
AGAGUUUGAUCCUGGCUCAGAGCGAACGCUGGCGGCAGGCCUAACACAUGCAAGUCGAACGCCCCUUCGGGGGAGUGGCGGACGGGUGAGUAACGCGUGGGAAUGUGCCCUUUGGUACGGAACAACUGAGGGAAACUUCAGCUAAUACCGUAUGUGCCCUAUGGGGGAAAGAUUUAUCGCCAUUGGAGCAGCCCGCGUUG